rnacentral:rRNA from 1 species
CACGUAGGGGGCAAGCGUUGUCCGGAAUUAUUGGGCGUAAAGAGCUCGUAGGCGGCUCGGUAAGUCAGGUGUCAAAUCCUCAGGCUCAACCUGGGGCUCCACCUGAUACUGCUGUGGCUAGAGUCCGGUAGGGGAGCGUGGAAUUCCUGGUGUAGCGGUGAAAUGCGCAGAUAUCAGGAGGAACACCAGCGGCGAAGGCGGCGCUCUGGGCCGGAACUGACGCCGAGGAGCGAAAGCGUGGGGAGCGAACAGG